rnacentral:rRNA from 1 species
UACGAAGGGAGCUAGCGUUGUUCGGAAUUACUGGGCGUAAAGCGCAUGCAGGCGGAUCGUUAAGUCGGGGGUGAAAUCCCAGGGCUCAACCCUGGAACUGCCUUCGAUACUGGCGAUCUUGAGUCCGGGAGAGGUGAGUGGAACUCCGAGUGUAGAGGUGAAAUUCGUAGAUAUUCGGAAGAACACCAGUGGCGAAGGCGGCUCACUGGCCCGGUACUGACGCUGAGAUGCGAAAGCGUGGGGAGCAAACAGG